UACGGAGGGUGCAAGCGUUGUCCGGAUUUAUUGGGUUUAAAGGGUGCGUAGGCGGCCCGUUAAGUCAGCGGUGAAAUCCCGGGGCUCAACCCCGGAACUGCCGUUGAUACUGGCGGGCUUGAGUUCGGUCGAGGCGGGCGGAACUGGCGGUGUAGCGGUGAAAUGCUUAGAUACCGCCAAGAACCCCGAUUGCGUAGGCAGCUCGCUUGGCCGAAACUGACGCUGAGGCACGGAAGCGUGGGGAGCGAACAGG
rnacentral:rRNA from 1 species